rnacentral:rRNA from 1 species
CACGUAGGGGGCAAGCGUUGUCCGGAUUUAUUGGGCGUAAAGCGCGUGUAGGCGGCCAGAUAAGUCCGCUGUGAAAUCUCGAGGCUCAACUUCGAGCUGUCGGUGGAAACUGUCUGGCUAGAGUCCGGAAGAGGAGAAUGGAAUUCCUGGUGUAGCGGUGAAAUGCGCAGAUAUCAGGAAGAACACCCGUGGCGAAGGCGGUUCUCUGGGACGGUACUGACGCUGAGACGCGAAAGCGUGGGGAGCGAACAGG